CUGAAAAAUAGCUGUGUCAUUGGCUUGUGCUCUCAGUGCACAUAUAACACUGACUACUAACCAGCUACACCAGAUCAGACACUCCCAGACUGAUCGGUGAAGAAAACAUCGAAGUGGAGCCAUGCUGUGACUGAUAUUCUCUGCUUUGCACAAUGUCGCUGCCUGGAUAGUUUCUUCCUGUGGCUCCUCAGCAAAGGAUGGGACAUCAUCAGGAGAGACAUACCAGUGUAAAGGAGAUAAAGUGUGGACGGUGUCUAAUGAUGCAGCACCAUCUACUCAAAAGCCUUCAUAAUUCCUCCCAGCAGUGCGGACAGGAAAGAUGCCCACAUUUUCUCCAACUGGUCACCCUGCAAAGUUUUUAAUCUCUGCUUCG